AAAAAACCCUCCUCUGUAUGCAUAAGAUCACUGUGGACAUUUUUGAAAGGACACAAUUCAUGUCUUUUAACAUUUGGUUUCAAAAAGCUUUUAAAAAUAGAAAACUCAGAUUUUUUAAAAGAGAUUUUAUUUAUUUAUUCAUGAGAGACACAGAGAGAGAGAGCGAGGCAGAGACACAGGCAGAGGGAGAAGCAGGGUCCAUGCAGGGAGCCUGAUGUGGGACUUGAUCAGGGGACUCCUAGGUCACGCCCUGGACCAGAGGCAGGUGCUAAACCACUGAGCCACCCAGGGAUCCCGAAAACUCAGAUUUUUGAAUUCUAAAAUUCUUUGGGGAUUCUUAGUUCCUCCUAUGCUUGCAGAACUAGGUCACUGAGUAAUGUUCAAGACUUUUGUUGUUGUGGUUCUUAAACUUUAAGAAAUUAUGUUGGCCUUGGGAUGAGACUUGUAUUUUUAUGUAAAGAAUCUGAUAAAGAUGGUUAAGUCGGUAUUCACACAGUCUGAGGCAAGCAGGCCGUUGGAGAGCUCGGAGCUGGACUAUCUCCUACAACUGAGCUGGUUAAUUUUCCCAGAAUGUCAGGAACCUGAGCAAAUUUUAAAAGAUUUUAAAGUUUCUACUUCCUUCUUGAACAUCCCUCUCUAGUGGGAAUUACUCAGACCAUUGAAUACAAGUAGGAGCGCCUGCAGGGCUAGUCAAGAUUCUAGAGAAUUGAAACCAAAUAUUUCCUAACCUUUACAGCAAAAUAGGUUUUCUUUUGUUUCAUUUACCGUGCCUAUCAACAUUUCUCAGAAUGUGAUCCACAAGACACGAUUUCCUCGAAAAAAGGAUUCUGUGUUCCGAUAUAUUUGGGUGACUCUUGAGUGAAGCAAAACUGAAAAAAUAAUGUUUCAAACUGUAGCUCUUCUCUGAGUAUUUAGGAUAAAAAAUGUAUGUAUGUAUGUAUUUAUUUAUUUAUUUAUUUAUUUAUUUAUUUAUUUAUUUAUUUUCAACAAAGAAAUAUUUGUUAAGAACUCUCCGUGGGCCAGACACAGCACUAGCCUUUGGGGCAUAACAGGGCCUCAUUCCUGCCCUUUGGGGAGUAAGGGCUGUGAAAAUCUCCUGUCAAUCUGCAGGCAAAUGUCAGAAGUCCAGAUGCUAGAAACAAGGCCAGGAUGACCCGAUCGAUGACCUCGCACGCACGUGUUCUCUGAGUGCACCUGGCCGUGGGGAGGUCAGCACCAGGACGACGGGGACGAGAUGCCACACGAGUACUUUGAAGUAGUGAAGCCUUUCAAUGGUGUCCUAUCACCAGGGAUACUGAUGGAAAACAUUUGUAUUUCGAGCUUUUAAAAUAUUGAUCAUCAAUUUGAGUUCUAAUCCG
rnacentral:lncRNA from 12 species